AGUGGUUUGAUUACCCGUGUUUGAUCCAGAAAGUAACAGUGAAUUUUGGUUCGGUAAAGUGCUCCAUCUGUUACUUGAACUUCUAUAAAAUGACCCUGCAACAAACCAAUUGCAAAAAUUCAGAGUUGGAGGAGGUUUUGGCUGAGCCGAGCGAGCGGAGGACUGUGAAGGCGGCGGCGAGGUGCUUGAAGGCGUCCGUCUCGGGUCCGCCUCCCGCCACGUCAAACAGCUGACGCAGUAAAAGCAUCGACGCAUACGUCUUGCCCGAGCCGCUUGUGCCUGUAACAACACCGAAACAGAACAAACACUCUCAUCACGUAUGCUAAUGAAUGGAAAAAACUGAACACAUGCUAUGUGAAUACCUGGAGCACACACACAACUGGAGGGGUGUGAUGAUGCGGGUGGGGAAGGGGGUUAAGGAACCCGCGGCUAGUAGAUUCAUGGAAACAAACAUACAGGUGCAUCAAGCCAUCAAGUGGCAAACCUCUUCCUUUAGGCAUCAGGGUGUGUACUUUGAACUUGUCUUUCACCUUUCUCAAUUUGUCUUCCUUUCUCUUGUUUUCUUUUCCUUCUCCUCACCCUCAUCAGCUCUCGUUUUCUUCUCUUUCCAAAGUGAUACGUAAUUUUACAUUUUCCACCUUUCCCUCAUUUCCUCUACGAAUUUUCCCCUUCUCACUUCAGCUCUCAAUUACAAUUUUCCUAGCUGAUAGUGCU